rnacentral:rRNA from 1 species
UAACCUACGGGGCGCAGCAGUGGGGAAUAUUGGGCAAUGGGCGCAAGCCUGACCCAGCAACGCCGCGUGAAGGAAGAAGGCUUUCGGGUUGUAAACUUCUUUUGUCAGGGACGAAGCAAGUGACGGUACCUGACGAAUAAGCCACGGCUAACUACGUGCCAGCAGCCGCGGUAAUACGUAGGGGGCAAGCGUUAUCCGGAUUUACUGGGUGUAAAGGGAGCGUAGACGGCGCGGCAAGUCUGAAGUGAAAGGCAGGGGCUUAACCCCUGAACUGCUUUGGAAACUGCCAUGCUAGAGUGCUGGAG